rnacentral:rRNA from 1 species
CACGUAGGAGGCAAACGUUAUCCGGAUUUACUGGGCGUAAAGCGCGUGUAGGUGGUUCUGUAAGUAGGGCGUGAAAGCUCCCGGCUCAACUGGGAGAGGCCGUUCUAAACUGCAGAGCUAGAGGAUGGUAGAGGGAGGUGGAAUUCCAGGUGUAGCGGUGGAAUGCGCAGAUAUCUGGAGGAACACCAGUGGCGAAGGCGGCCUCCUGGACCAUUCCUGACACUCAGACGCGAAAGCUAGGGUAGCAAACUGGAUUAGAUACCCUGGUA